GAGGGUGCAAGCGUUGUUCGGAAUUACUGGGCGUAAAGCGCGUGUAGGCGGCUUGAUAAGUCAGACGUGAAAUCCCUGGGCUCAACCCAGGAACUGCAUCUGAUACUGUCGAGCUAGAGUGUCGGAGGGGAUGGCGGAAUUCCCGGUGUAGAGGUGAAAUUCGUAGAUAUCGGGAGGAACACCUGUGGCGAAGGCGGCCAUCUGGAAGACAACUGACGCUGAGACGCGAAAGCGUGGGGAGCAAACAGGAUUAGAUACCCUGGUAGUCCACGCCGUAAACGAUGAGUGCUAGGUGUUGUGGGUAUUGACCCCCGCAGUGCCAAAGCUAACGCGUUAAGCACUCCGCCUGAGUAGUACGAUCGCAAGAUUA
rnacentral:rRNA from 1 species